GAAAUUGGGCUGGCUGGGUGCGGAGGCGGCGGCGCGCCCUGUGGGGGCGCAGUGUCCUGCUCGGAUCCCCGAGGAAGUCACCGGCUUGCCCAGACCCCAGAACGCGCACCGGGCCUCACCUGUCUCUUUCUGUACCCCCCCCCCGGAAGUGUUUCUGCUAUGAAGUCUGGAUGGGUGAUGGUCUCUGAAUGAUAAAACCUCCGGGUCAGAGUUCCCUGGGGUUGACUUUGGAACUGAUGGGAAGUUAAAACUUACGUGUGGAAAAACAAAACUUGACAGGGAGAGCAUUUAAAACUUCAGAAAGACGAGAUGGACCACGCAUUACUCUCUCCAUCUCCUGUAAGGAAGGUGUGGGAUGUGGGACUGAUUCAGAUGGCCCACAGCAGCAGACUAUUUGCCUCCUGCGGGCUAUGAGAGGAGCUCUUUGCCAGCUGCAGAUAAUUUAAAUCUGAGGACUCUGGAGAGGGAAUAAAGGCAAGAACCCUGAGAGUGUGGAGAAAAGAGAAAGAACAAGGCUGCUCCUGCUUCCCCUUUGCUGCUUCUAGUUGCUGUUGUGAGACAAGAAGAUGGAGAUCUCCUGAAACAAGGAUUAGACUGGCUCCAAGGAACCCGAUAACCCUAACCAGCAGGAAGCAGCUAAGAGAACUGUACCCCCUCUCCCACUAACCCUUUCUCCCUACCUGGUGUUGGAAGGAAUUGGGGUAAAAUAGGGAGAAAAAGACAGAAGUGUAAAUAAAAGAGUUUUUUUUUAAAGUACUCUAACACAUUCUCCUUUUUACUAGUUGAACUUUGACCAUGCAAGGACUUAUUAGAUUUGUACCUGUAUCUUUCAGUUUGAAGUUGUUAGUCUUUCUGUUCUUAAAAUACCUUUAAAAACUUUACGGAGGAAUAGAGCUGGAUCUGACCUAAAAGCCUCUUCCCAGAGGGUUAGCUUUCAAUAACACUGCAAGUUAUGCAACCUGCCGAUGGAGGAAAACAGCCUAUCCACCUGUGAAGACUAUGAGUCACAACAGUAACCAGCUUGGCAAGAUAUGCCCCAAGGUGCAAUAGUGGCACCUGUGCCUUAGGGAUGACCAACAGCCGUCUAAUCGGAUCUGCUGUUACUAACAUUUCUGUUGCUGUGAUACUGUUAGGCCCAGCAAGAGCCUAAAUAUAAGAAGGUAUGAAGAGAACUCAGGAAACUAAUCAUCCAUCGAUGCAAAAACGGCUGCGCGGCCCACGUCUCCCUCAAACUCCAGCAGCUUGAGACCACGUGCUCAAAUACGUAUGCCUACAGUCUCUCCCGAGAAACGGCAGGUGGGUAGAAUGGCGCUUCAGGUGUUGGCCUGGUUUUUCUCCUUGCCCUACCACACUGACCCCUCCGUCUCUGACAGAAAUAAACCCCCUACAGUAGUUUGUAUAAAAUACAAAUGAGGUCCUUUCAGUUCCAUGUUUAAUGCGCUUCGGUGGCUGUUGCCUAGCCGGACCUAGAGUAAAAAACACAGAAUCCUUAACCAUCUCCACAGUGUGGCCCAGCUUGGCGCUCGCUGGUCUCCCUACCACAUCCUUUCUCUCCCCUUCCCUCGUGCUCUGUCCUUGGUGCCCUGGCUUGUUAUCUGCAUCCACCAAGCUUUUCCUUCCUCACAGCCUGACCAAAACAGCAAAGAAACCAGAGCCCAGUACAAGAAGUAGAGCCCAUUGCAACUCUGCACUGAGCAUGUAUGUACUUAUGAAAGCACCUUCUUCCUUUUUUUUUUUUUUUGUUGUUGUUGUUUGUUUUUGGAGACCAAAAACCAAGUGUUGGCUUGGUUCUGGACUCACUUUGUAGACCAGGCUGGCCUCGAAAUCACAGAGAGUUCUGCUUGCCUCUGUCUCCCUGAGUGCUGCGAUUACAGGCAUGGGGAACUCCUUUCUUCAUAAUCAAAGCUCCAUCAGGCUUCUUCAGAACCUCUUCUGGACUUGACCUCCGCUGUGGCCUGCAUUCUGCCUGGACCUGCCUAGAAAUUCUGUCGGUUACCGAAAAUCCCAGCAGGUCUGAUGAGCAGAGAUUCCUCAUCCUGACAUCAGAUCAUUUCCUUGUCCCCCAAAUUUGGUUUCUGGUCGCCUUGGUCUGCCUUCAGCCAGAUUUCCAUUAAGUUGGUUUCUCAAGAGUCCUUCAGCACUGAUGUCUCAGUCAUUUUUCCUCUCCAUCUCCCUUACUGUAUGUGGCACUCCAGCUAUUUUUGUGGUAUUUCAAAGUCUAGGUCAGUCUUUCUUUUCUAUUGCAGUGACCUUGGCACUUCCAAUAGCCCCGAAUAAAAUCUUCCGCUUAUUUUAGCAAA